GGGGGGGGGGGGGGGGGGGGGGGGCGGGGGGAGGGCGGGCGGGGGGGGGCCGGGGGGGGCGGGCGAGGGGCGGACGGGGGGGGAAUGCGUCGGGACGUGCCCGGUCGUGGGGGAUAACGAGGCGCAAGAGUGGCUAAUACCGCAUACGAGCUAGGGGUGAAAGCGGGGGACCGCAAGGCCUCGCGCGGACGGAGCGGCCGAUGGCUGAUUAGGUAGUUGGUGGGAUAAAGGCUUCCCAAGCGCACGAGCUGUAGCCGGUCUGAGUGGAAGAUCAGCCACACUGGGACUGAGACACGGCCCAGACUCCGACGGGAGGCAGCAGUGUGGAAUUUUGGACAAUGGGCGCAAGCCUGAUCCAGCCAUGCCGCGUGCAGGAAGAAGGCCUUCGGGUUGUAAACUGCUUUUGUACGGAACGAAACGUCUUUUGUUAAUACCCGGGGCUAAUGACGGUACCGUAAGAAUAAGCACCGGCUAACUACGUG
rnacentral:rRNA from 1 species